GCCGAAAUAGCACAGUUGGGAGAGCGUUAGACUGAAGAUCUAAAGGUCCCUGGUUCACGCCUGGGUUUCGCAGCG
rnacentral:tRNA from 1 species